rnacentral:tRNA from 1 species
GAGAGAAGUUUGCCUAAGUAAGAACUGCUAAUUCCUUAUAAUUAUGGUUAAAAUCCAUAUUUCCCUCG